rnacentral:rRNA from 1 species
GACAGAGGGUGCAAACGUUGUUCGGAAUUACUGGGCGUAAAGCGCGUGUAGGCGGCUCGAUAAGUCGGAUGUGAAAGCCCUGGGCUCAACCUAGGAAGUGCAUUCGAAACUGCUGAGCUUGAGUUCUGGAGAGGGUCGCGGAAUUCCCGGUGUAGAGGUGAAAUUCGUAGAUAUCGGGAGGAACACCAGUGGCGAAGGCGGCGACCUGGACAGAUAUUGACGCUGAGGUGCGAAAGCGUGGGGAGCAAACAGG